AUGUUUGCGAGCAGAGCAGCCUGGCAGAGGUGUGGGCCUCUGGCGCGACAGUCCCUGCACCGCGCGCAGCUCAAUAGAAAUGUAGUUCCUCGGAGGCUCAUGUCGUCAGGUCCUGGCGGCUCAGGUGAGAAUUUCCUUUAUGUCGUCCUCUGCGGUGGAGCCUUCGCAGGUGCCGUGGCAUAUGCUUACAGAACAGUUGCAACAGACCACGCACGUUUUGUUGUUCGUGUUUCUGAAAUUGAUGCUCGUCCCAAGUCUGACUGGAAACCCAGACCAUGGCCACCCAAGAGUAAGUCUCACCUAUGGUCUGGUUAAACCUCUGAUUUUAUUGUUGUAAUUUAAUCAGUGUCACUUUUGGGAUUCAGGUUUUCCUAUGGCCUGUUAAAACUAGGAUACAAGAGUAGGAACCAUUUACCUGACUACAGGAAGUUGAAUACUAGCAUAGCUGUCUCAGGAUGAAAGAUAGAGGCAUAAGGUCAUAUACAGAAAAUCUUGUUUGACAUAUUUAAUGAAAACAGUGCUAUUCACUCAGCGCUGGUAGUAACCCUGUGAAUUUCAUUCUCAGUGCCAUUAGGAAUGCUGAUCUACAUUGUCAGCUAAUGUCUGUAUCCAAAAAUAUGAGAUCUAAUAAAUAAUACAUUGCAGCCCUUCCAGUUGGGGUAUGUGGAAAACAUUUGGCACUCUCUCACAUUUAUCUUGUGGUCAGAACAGUAAUGUUAGACAGCUGAAAGUUGCCCUCUUAGUUCCCCCUCACAGUCCUGCCAAAUCCACAUCCACCAAAUUAAAUAACUGUAUCAAAUCCAAGCGUGUCUAACACUCCUGCAUCUGAGCCAAACAUUAUUAAACUGCCUUAUCUAAAUGACAGCAGCAUUAAAAAUCUCUCUCAUUCAAGUAUUAUAAAUAAGGGGAUAUUAUGUUUUGUAAUGCAGUCUGAUAUUAGUGAGUGACUGUUGAUAAAGUUUUAUACAGCCGCUUCAGGGUUCAUUGACAUUUCAGAUUACUAUGUGCCAUCAUUUAAUUUUUGUUUGUUUGUUUUCUAGGUGGGGAGAAUGGCAAUGGUGAGUUCAUGUGUGAUCUUUUAUGUCAUAAUUUCUCCAUGAUGUACCAUAAAUAACUUUUAACUUAUUAUGAUAUUUGAAUGGACAAACUACAGCUCUGUCUUUUAAAUGUUUGUGUAACACAUCUGUUUGCCUCAAAACAAAUGGUCCAUUUAGUGAAUUUUCCUAAAACUAACUUGUGCUUUAACUUGCAUGGUCUGAACUGCUGCAUAACGAGUAUUUUUGAGAGUUAUUACUGGAACUGUAUUAUAGCCUUGGUUUCUGAAAGUCAAAGGUUAACUAAAUGAUGACGCACCCUACUUUUCAGUCUCCUCCCAUUUAGUCGAUCCUGAUACCUUAUUGGCUCCAAAACACUUGGCACAUAGGUUAUGACCUGUUCUGAUUAAUAUUUGCUAUAUGCCAGGUAGGAUCAUCAAAACUUAAGUUUUGCAUAUAUCCUGCAAUACUAAUGAUACUACAGUUGGCAGAUAUUGGUAGAAUAAUGGCUAAACUGCGAUGCCAAAGAGUCUAGAUCCUCCACAGACUGAAGCAGAAAAGUGGGCUAAACCAGACUAAACUUUUGAUGAGACAAUGCAUUUUUAUGGCAUUUUUUGUCUUUGUGUUAUUUGAGCUACAGCAUUCCUGUAGAGUGUGGUACUUACAAUGCCAAGGUCAUGGGUUCAAUUCCUGGGGAAAGUAUGAUCUGAUAAAAUGGAUACCUUGAAUGCAAUCACUUUGGAUAAAGGCAUCUGCCAAAUGCAUAAAUGUAAAUGUAUGAUUUGAUUUAAGGAGUUGUUCUCAUGUCACCCUUCUAACCCACCUAAUCCCCUGAUCCUACUUGUCGGAAAGCCUGUUAAUCAGAACUGGGUGGCUUUCUCUUUGACACUGUGUCACUUUCCUCUUGAAUAAACUGUGUAUAUGAUCCAUCUGCACCCCUGUGCACUCACAUUUUCUCUCACAGCACUUUUCCCAACUUACCUACCUGUGCUCCUAUUUUAAUGACUACAGUCCAGUCCAGAAAGACUUGCCAGCCAAUAUAAACAGUUUUAUACUGCCUCCAACAUGUUCUCUCUGCCCAGUCCAUUAAGCAUGUUUUAUAAGAUUGUGCUGGUUUUAAAUAAUUGAGAAUUCUUUUAUUCAGUUAACUCUUUUGAAGAGAUUUUUAACAGAGUUAAGCCAAAUACAGUUUUGGAGUUUUUAGCAAAAAUAAAAUUUUAAAACAUGUUAUAAUUUAGCCAUAAUAUUUCUCGCCAUGAAAAUAUCCAUAGAAGCUGGAAUGGAGUUAAACACAAACAAACAUUAUACUGUGGUCUUUCAAAUGCCAAAACAGAAUAUUAAACCACGAACUCAAAGCUUUACCUUAUCUCUUUCCUAAUUGUCUCUUUGUUCUGACUCUUUCCAGACAGUAAACUAAUUCGGACAGUCUGGGCUGGUCACCUAUAGUCUUCAGUCAGAACUUUUUGGAUGAUUCUCUUCUGAGCUAAAGUUGUUAUGAGUCCUGCUUUUUCCAUUGAACUAAUAUUUUUUUAUUCCAUUGAUUUUUAAAACCUUUAUUUAAGGGUGAGUUAACUAAUUAAACACACACAACAAAUCUCCUUUGGUUGUUAUUCUGUUUUGCUGGAAUUCACAGAGUUGCUGGUACUGCUAACUUUGAACAGAUGGUAAGGCUCAACCAUCUUUGUAUUCCCUCUCCUCACCUGUCCUCCCAGACCCUUUCUACCUGUUGUUUCUGUUCAGUUUCUCUUUUUACUCUCCCUCCUCAUUCUUGGGUUUUGCAUGCUGCCUGCAGUGAUUGGCUUGUGUGUGAUUUUGACAAAGCUAGAUUUAUAUUCCCAGUUUAGCCAUUUAUUGGGGUUUCCAGGAGAUUUGAUAAGAAGAGACACAUGAACUAAAUGACAGUGUAUGUGAUUAACUGUAUAGUCUUCAUCACACUGUACCUCCUCUUUUUGCAUCGAUGUGUUAAACACCAGGAUUUGAUGCUUGAGUUGCAAUAAUGUCAUCCCGCUAUAUAGCACACAGCUUAUUGUGUAUAUUUUUAUUCUGUUCCUGGAUUUUGCUGGAAAUAUUUGAAAACUUAUAUAAAUUAUAACUUGAACAAAAUUAUAAAUUAUAUAUUUUUUCAAGUAUUGAUAACUGUAGAAACCACUGUGAGAAUACAAAGUUGCUGCUUUUUGUCACAUGUGACCAAACAUUCCAGUGGACACACUUCAGACCAUCUACUCCUGUUCUCCUUCUUACUCUUCGCUUCACUCUCAAUCUUCUCACAAAUCUGAGCCAGCCCUCUGUCCUGCCUUAUCUUCUAUUUAAGGCACAAAAAAUAAAUGUGCUAUAUAGUUAGUUAUUUGUUGUUUUGUAAUAACUGGAACAGUUCAGUCGAAAACGUGCUUCUCUGCCAGAUAUCACUUAGUUGGUACACGCCAGUUAAAACUGUGAAAACUGUGAGUGUUUCGCUCCCUAGCAACUAGGCCAGAUGUGUUUCUGUAUUAGUUUUCCCUUUAUAUUCCUCUGUAUGACUGAACUGACAAGGAACUCAGUAACUUGCCAAAAAGGUCAUGUGUGCUGGAUUACACUGCUCAUUUAUUUGGAAAAAUGCAAUUGUGUAAUAAAAAUAGAUAAGGGAUUCAAAGCCAAUUAAUAAAAUUAAAUUGAUAAAUACCAAAAAAAUUCUGUUUAAUUUUUUUCCUGAAAACAUUCUGCUUUUACAAACUGAAAUAUAAAAUCUUAAACACUGACAAGUUCAUCCUCUGUUUUAAAAGUAAUGUUUUAAAAUGCUGCAUUUAGUGUAAAGGUCCUUGGUGUUGUACAUUAUAACCUAUAAUUUAAUCUCUACAUAGGGAGUUGUUUUAUCUCUUAACUUUUGUUGUAGUCAUACUUGUGGUAUGCCCCUUUCUAAGUGAUAUUUGGCAGUAAAGCCUCUUAAUGUAUGUUCUGAAUGAUAAAUGGAGAUGCAUAAUGAUACUCACUGAAAGUCUCUUACAUUCUGUGAAAUGCAAAAAUAGACACCAUAGAUCAGACCUGAAUGCACUUAACUUUACUUAAGCUACUUAAGCUCUUUUCUGUGUUGUUAUAACUAUCACUAAUGAAGUGGGGAUGAACCUCUGUACUCUACUAUUAGUAGUCUCAUUUCUAUCUUUCCUAUUUUGUCUCUCUAGAUUAAUCUUUUAUUUUAAACUCCAGUCACACACACCAAGAAAUGACAAUUUAUAAACAAUUUGAACUUAAAAUUGACAGUUAUAAAAACUUUAAAUAAGUCAGUUAAUACCUCAAACAUCUAAUGUCUGUUUUUUGUGUGUGUGAUUAUUGGGUGGCUUGAUUAUGUCUUGUAGGGUCGGUUAGCACAGCAGUAGCAGAAACAGUAGCGCUGGCUGCUGCCUCCGUGAUCGAGGCUGUUCCUGUGGAGUCUGUAUCCGUGGAAGAUGUGU
rnacentral:lncRNA from 1 species